AUCCCACAUGUAUUCCCCCAAACUUAGGUUUGUGCCUAAGUUAAGCCUUCACUGCCUAUCCUUGUCAUUUUCUAGUUCACCCUAGCAUUAUCCUUUAGAAACUUUUUAUGUAUCAAUUUGAACUAACCGGUCAACAAAGAUGUUAUUAGUGCUACCCCUUUUAUAACAGUUUCAAACAAGUCCAAGAAUCGAUUCAUAACAGAAAUUAUAUCAUAGUUCUAAUAAUCCAUACUAUAUUGGUUAACUUGUUCACAA
rnacentral:lncRNA from 1 species